AUUGAACGCUGGCGGCAGGCCUAACACAUGCAAGUCGAGCGGAUGAGGGAAGCUUGCUUCCUGAUUUAGCGGCGGACGGGUGAGUAAUGCCUAGGAAUCUGCCUAUUAGUGGGGGAUAACGUUCCGAAAGGAACGCUAAUACCGCAUACGUCCUACGGGAGAAAGUGGGGGAUCUUCGGACCUCACGCUAAUAGAUGAGCCUAGGUCGGAUUAGCUAGUUGGUGAGGUAACGGUUCACCAAGGCGACGAUCCGUAGCUGGUCUGAGAGGAUGAUCAGCCACACUGGAACUGAGACACGGUCCAGACUCCUACGUGAGGCAGCAGUGGGGAAUAUUGGACAAUGGGCGAAAGCCUGAUCCAGCCAUGCCGCGUGUGUGAAGAAGGUCUUCGGAUUGUAAAGCACUUUAAGUUGGGAGGAAGGGCAUUAACCUAAUACGUUAGUGUUUUGACGUUACCAACAGAAUAAGCACCGGCUAACUUCGUGCCAGCCGCCGCGGUAACAC
rnacentral:rRNA from 1 species